AAGUCGAACGAUGACGUCACUGCUUGCAGUGAUUGAUUAGUGGCGAACGGGUGAGUAACACGUGAGGAACUUGCCCAUGAGCGGGGGACAACAUUCGGAAACGGAUGCUAAUACCCUAUAGGUGGAUUGGUCGCAUGACUAAUUCAUUAAAGGUGGCUCUGCUACCACUCAUGGAUAGCCUCGCGGCGUAUUAGCUAGUUGGUAAGGUAAUGGCUUACCAAGGCAGUGAUACGUAGCCGACUUGAGAGGGUGAUCGGCCACACUGGGACUGAGACACGGCCCAGACUCCUACGGGAGGCAGCAGUAGGGAAUCUUCCACAAUGGGUGCAAACCUGAUGGAGCAAUGCCGCGUGAGUGAAGAAGGUCUUCGGAUCGUAAAGCUCUGUUGUUAGAGAAGAACACGUGCUAGGUAACUACUAGCGCCUUGACGGUAUCUAACCAGAAAGUCACGGCUAACUACGUGCCAGCAGCCGCGGUAAUACGUAGGUGACAAGCGUUGUCCGGAUUUAUUGGGCGUAAAGGGAGCGCAGGCGGUCUGUUUAGUCUAAUGUGAAAGCCCACGGCUUAACCGUGGAACGGCAUUGGAAACUGACAGACUUGAAUGUAGAAGAGGAAAAUGGAAUUCCAAGUGUAGCGGUGGAAUGCGUAGAUAUUUGGAGGAACACCAGUGGCGAAGGCGAUUUUCUGGUCUAACAUUGACGCUGAGGCUCGAAAGCGUGGGGAGCGAACAGGAUUA
rnacentral:rRNA from 1 species